UACGUAGGGGGCAAGCGUUGUCCGGAUUUAUUGGGCGUAAAGAGCUCGUAGGCGGCUUGGCAAGUCGGGUGUGAAAACUUCAGGCUCAACCUGGAGAUGGCACUCGAUACUGCUAUGGCUAGAGUCCGGUAGGGGACCACGGAAUUCCUGGUGUAGCGGUGAAAUGCGCAGAUAUCGGGAGGAACACCAAUGGCGAAGGCAGCUCGCUGGGACGUUACUGACACUGAGGAGCGAAAGCGUGGGGAGCGAACAGG
rnacentral:rRNA from 1 species